AGGCGUUAACUGUUUCCGUGAAACACCAACGGUGAGCUUCAAUGACACCAAAUUUGCAGACUAUAGUGAGGAGCAGUCUAUUAUUUUCAACUACCUUCAAACUUACCUCUCCAACAACCCGCUGUUGGUCAGCGGAAGCCUGAUGGACCACGUAUUUCCGGCUGGAAGAGGGAGGUAUGAAGUGACUCCUCUUUUUACUCCAAAGCAAGUGAGCACUCCAGGUUCAUCGGCUGCGUCAUCUGACCUGUGCUGCUGAGUCAGUGUGACAUCACGUUUACCUCUCCGGCCUAAAGAUGCGCACAAGACAAAUCGAGUGUGACCUUUUGUGGCUCUGAGCUUACUCCAUGGCUAGUCCUGUUUUAAAUCGGUGACCAUUCAGCGCCAAGCUGGACCCGAGGACUCAGCCUCCCGACACCCAUUCCUGUUCCACCGCCCCGGCCCCUGAACACUCCUCGGAUCACAGACGCAUACC